CUGGGGGUAUUGGUUCAUCUUGAAUCCCUCCCCCUUCCAGCUCAGGCCUGCUGGAAUGGGCUGCCCCAGAGCGAAGGGAGGAAUAGUCUCUGUCUCCUCCCCACCCGCACUCCACACAGGUGUGAAUCAGCCCAGAGGAGAGUGGCUCUGACACGAGGGGGCACAACGCGAAGACUUGGGGUGUCGAGUCUCUGGGAGGAAGUCCUGAGCACCUACUGUGCGCUGAGCUCGUGGACAGUGUGGACGUCCUCUCUUCCCAUCUGCAACCACCUGCUGUGAGUGCCCUCCUCUGAAACGAGGUUCAGAGUGGGCAGUGACUCGCCUAAGGCCACACAGCCCAGCCAGUGCCUGUGGAGGGAAGCCCAACUGCGGCUGGUUCUUGCUCCUGGAACUUUCUGGCCCCAUCUUAUACGCCUCAAG
rnacentral:lncRNA from 10 species